rnacentral:rRNA from 1 species
CCUACGUGAGGCAGCAGUGGGGAAUAUUGCGCAAUGGGCGAAAGCCUGACGCAGCGACGCCGCGUGAGGGAUGAAGGUCUUCGGAUCGUAAACCUCUGUCAGCAGGGAAGAACGGUCACUGUGCUAAUCAGCAGUGAAUUGACGGUACCUGCAAAGGAAGCACCGGCUAACUCCGUGCCAGCAGCCGAGGUAAUACGGAGGGUGCGAGCGUUAAUCGGAAUUACUGGGCGGAAAGCGCUCGUAGGCGGUAUGUCAAGUCAAGGGUGAAAUCCCCGCGCUCAACGUGGGAACUGCCUGUGAAACUGGCAAACUGGAGUGUGUGAGAGGAUAGUGGAAUUCCAGGUGUAGGAGUGAAAUCCGUAGAUAUCUGGAGGAACAUCAGUGGCGAAGGCGACUAUCUGGCACAUAACUGACGCUGAGGAGCGAAAGCGUGGGUAGCAAACAGGAUUAGAUACCCUAGUAGUC